rnacentral:rRNA from 1 species
GUUGUUGUUAAGGUUUAUUUUUUUGAGUAUAAUAUAUUGGAUUAGUAUUAUGAGUGGGUGUUGUAGAGUUUUUAUAGAUUAAUAGUACUGUUGAGGAAUUAAGUAUAUUUAUUUAUAAUAUUAGGUUGUUUAUUACCUUUUGUAUUAGGGUUUAUUAAUGUGUAUUGAUGUGGAUCUUGUCUCGAUGAAUAUCGGGCUAUUUUAUUGGUUAUUAUUUUUGUUGAAUAAAAUUAAUUACGAUUUAAUAGUUAUGAAAUAUUAUUCAAGUUAUUUUUUAUCUAGUUUUCUUAGAGGUAUAAUUAAAGGUAUUUAUAUUAUAAAAAUAUGUUGGGAUUAGCUAGCUUAUUUUUUAUAUGUAGGAUGAUUUUGGUUUUAUUGGUGAAGUUAAAAGUUCUUAUUUUUAGGAUGUUAUUAUUUAUUAGGUUAAGUUUUUAUUUUUUUAUAAGUAUUAUGUUGAUAUAGGGGAUGUUAAUUUAAUUUGUAUUUAAUGUUAUAAUGAUAUGAUUAGUAAUAAUUUAUUUUUUUUAAUAGUUUGGUUUUUAAAAAUUUUAGAUAGUAGAAGUGAUGGGUAUUAAUAUUGGAGAAUUAGGCAAAAUUAGCUUUUGACUGUUUAGCAAAAACAUUGUUUUUUGUUGGAAUAAGAAAUAAGGUCUGUCCGCUGCUUAUAGUGAAGGGCUGCAGUAUUUUGACUGUAUGAAGGUAGCAUAAUCAUUAGUUUUUUGAUUGGAAACUGGUAUGAAGGUGAAACAGGGGCUUUCUAUUUUGAUAUUAGUUGAUGAAUUUUAUUUUUAUGUGAAAAAUCAUAAUUGAGAUUAAGGGACAAGAAGACCCUAGUAAGUUUUAUUUUUUGUUGUGAUGGGUAUAUAGUUUGUUGAAUUAAUAUGAUUUAUAAUUUUGGAGUUUGGCUGGGGCGGUAUGUAAUUAAACAUUAUUUAAUUUUUAAUUUUUGUUAACGUAAUUUGGACCUGGUUUGGUCAGUUGAAAGUUAAACUACUGUAGGGAUAACAGCGUAAUUUUUUUUAAGAGUUCUUAUUGACAAAAGAGUUUGCGACCUCGAU